UCAUGGUGCGUUUGCAUGUACUCAUAGACAUUGAGAUGCCCUGUUUGAUUGUCAUCAUUAAGGAGAUUCCUUAUGAUGACCGUUCCUUGAUGAGAGCAACUUCACAGAGGAUAGAAAGACCGCAUCAGUUUGAACGACAAGACGUUGAAACGAAAACAAAUGUGGAUA
rnacentral:ribozyme from 1 species